rnacentral:rRNA from 1 species
GAACGCUGGCGGCGUGCCUAACACAUGCAAGUCGAACGCUUCACUUCGGUGAAGAGUGGCGAACGGGUGAGUAAUACAUAAGUAACCUGGCAUCUACAGGGGGAUAACUGAUGGAAACGUCAGCUAAGACCGCAUAGGUGUAGAGAUCGCAUGAACUCUAUAUGAAAAGUGCUACGGGACUGGUAGAUGAUGGACUUAUGGCGCAUUAGCUUGUUGGUAGGGUAACGGCCUACCAAGGCGACGAUGCGUAGCCGACCUGAGAGGGUGACCGGCCACACUGGGACUGAGACACGGCCCAGACUCCUACGGGAGGCAGCAGUAGGGAAUUUUCGGCAAUGGGGGAAACCCUGACCGAGCAACGCCGCGUGAAGGAAGAAGUAAUUCGUUAUGUAAACUUCUGUCAUAGAGGAAGAACGGUGGAUAUAGGGAAUGAUAUCCAAGUGACGGUACUCUAUAAGAAAGCCACGGCUAACUACGUGCCAGCAGCCGCGGUAAUACGUAGGUGGCGAGCGUUAUCCGGAAUUAUUGGGCGUAAAGAGGGAGCAGGCGGCACUAAGGGUCUGUGGUGAAAGAUCGAAGCUUAACUUCGGUAAGCCAUUGGAAACCGUAGAGCUAGAGUGUGUGAGAGGAUCGUGGAAUUCCAUGUGUAGCGGUGAAAUGCGUAGAUAUAUGGAGGAACACCAGUGGCGAAGGCGACGAUCUGGCGCAUAACUGACGCUCAGUCCCGAAAGCGUGGGGAGCAAAUAGGAUUAGAUACCCUAGUAGUCCACGCCGUAAACGAUGAGUACUAAGUGUUGGGUGUCAAAGCUCAGUGCUGCAGUUAACGCAAUAAGUACUCCGCCUGAGU